CUAAUGUCCAUGAAGGAGAAAAGUAGGUCAGACCCAGUCUCACAGGGAGGAAACGUCAGCGACUGAGAGCGUUUCCAGUUAUGGCUGAUUGAAGUUCUCUCCGGAGAUGCCGACUGAACUGACAGUAGGUUAGGCCGUAGUUCCCACGUUACAGGGAAGGGGGUAUCGGACAUUGUUCCCGUACUCUGCACAGAGGGGGUCUCGUUGAACGGGAUCAACUAGGGUGGUAACGCGGUAGCCUUGAGCUUCUCGUCCCUAAA
rnacentral:ncRNA from 2 species